rnacentral:misc_RNA from 1 species
GCAAACUUGGUCAUUUAGAGGAAGUAAAAGUCGUAACAAGGUUUCCGUAGGUGAACCUGCGGAAGGAUCAUUAAAGUAUCUUCGGGCGUCCGGUUCCGCGCCCCGCUCCGGUCGAAAGGCCGUGCAGCGGGCGCUCUCCGGCGCUCAACCUUCACAAACCCACCGUGCACCUUCACGGCAGAGGGCGCUCGGACGAGAGUCUGGGCGACCGACGCCGUUUCACCAAACUCUUAAGUCUUAAAAGUAUGAACGCGACGCUCGUCGCCUAUGAAACGUAACAACUUUCAACAACGGAUCUCUUGGCUCUCGCAUCGAUGAAGAACGCAGC